GUAAUGGUGUUUUUAGACACCACCCCUUUUUGGAAUUCAUAAAUAU
rfam:Picea glauca, whole genome shotgun sequence.